rnacentral:tRNA from 1 species
GCCCGGGUGGUGGAACUGGUAGACACGCUGGACUUAAAAUCCAGUGGAUGUAUAAUCCGUGCGGGUUCGAGUCCCGCCCCGGGCACCA